GCCCUGGACACUGAAGAUUAGGCUGGGGCCGCUGCCCAGAGCUUCCCCACCCCUCGAAGUUGGAAUCAGUCACAGGGCGCUUGCAGCGGUGUGCACGUGUCAACUUGUCUGUUCUGUGCUGCGAUUGGCUCCUUCCCGAUUCUGCCUCGUGACGCCACCCGGAGACGCUAGCAGCCCAGCCCCUAUAUAAACCCAGCGAACGUUCCCUGCAGUGCCUCAGUCUCGCUUUGUGGCUGUUCCUCCGUGAGGGUCUCGGCUAUUUUCUGCUCUCCCUUCUCGGUCCAUCUCCACCCAUCUUCUCAGAGACUGAAGUGACAGAAGGAGAGGUGUGGAAGCAAACAGAUCAUCUGACUAACAAGGCACCAGGCCUAGAUGAUCUAUACAAGAGUUCUGGAAGAGCUCAGCUGAAUGGAGACCUCUGCUCAGUGAGUGGCUGCGGUCAGAAAAACAAAAAAGAUGUUGGGAAGCAUAAGGAAUGGGAUGGAGAAGAAACUGAAAAUGUUACAUAAAUCCAUGGUACAGCCUCACAUGGAGUGUGAAAGUCUGGUCACCAUCUCCAAAACCUAUGAAGAAAGACAUGCCCUAAACUAACAAUGCCCAUCUUUUCAGUCUAUCUUACCGGUGCUACAUACUAACAACCGAGCAAUGUUGGUCUCAGUUUGAAGUGGAGACCAGGCCCUAGAGGAGACAGUUCAAGUAGGAGUUGCUAAAAGCGUUUCACAAAUGUGGCCACUGGCGACCACCAUGGGCUUUGCAUGUGGUUACAGCCUCCUGAGUGGUGAUUGCCAGGGGAGAGGGGAGGGGCUGCAAAACUAUGAUUUUACAAAAUACGAUUUAUUUUCACAAAAAUAGACGUACUAGCUAUCAAGUCUCUUUUAAAAAAUAAAGCAAUCAAAACAAGAUGACAAAAAACAUGCAAAGCACAUUAUUUGUUUCUGUUCUGUUUAGUCCAGUAAAGAAUAGCGACAACUGUACAUAAUUUUUAUUACCGAGUCUGCAAUAAAAAUGUACAUAGACAUACCCAAAUCAUAAUUUAUGAGCAUAUUUAUUUUUUCCUAAUGUUAAUUAAGUGUUUUAGGAAAUAUUGCCAGAUUGGCCAACAGCAAGAGUUGGUGGCGGCACUCUGAGGCCACCAAAAAGUUUCAUGUGAGAUCCUACUCGAG